CUUGCUGGGGGGAUUAGUGGCGAACGGGUGAGUAACACGUGAGUAACCUGCCCCUGACUCUGGGAUAAGCGCUGGAAACGGCGUCUAAUACCGGAUAUGACAAUCGACGGCAUCGUCUGGUUGUGGAAAGAAUUUCGGUUGGGGAUGGACUCGCGGCCUAUCAGGUUGUUGGUGAGGUAAUGGCUCACCAAGCCUACGACGGGUAGCCGGCCUGAGAGGGUGACCGGCCACACUGGGACUGAGACACGGCCCAGACUCCUACGGGAGGCAGCAGUGGGGAAUAUUGCACAAUGGGCGCAAGCCUGAUGCAGCAACGCCGCGUGAGGGACGACGGCCUUCGGGUUGUAAACCUCUUUUAGUAGGGAAGAAGCGAAAGUGACGGUACCUGCAGAAAAAGCACCGGCUAACUACGUGCCAGCAGCCGCGGUAAUACGUAGGGUGCAAGCGUUGUCCGGAAUUAUUGGGCGUAAAGAGCUCGUAGGCGGUUUGUCGCGUCUGCUGUGAAAACCGGAGGCUCAACCUCCGGCCUGCAGUGGGUACGGGCAGACUAGAGUGCGGUAGGGGAGAUUGGAAUUCCUGGUGUAGCGGUGGAAUGCGCAGAUAUCAGGAGGAACACCGAUGGCGAAGGCAGAUCUCUGGGCCGUAACUGACGCUGAGGAGCGAAAGCAUGGGGAGCGAACAGGAUUAGAUACCCUGGUAGUCCAUGCCGUAAACGUUGGGCGCUAGAUGUAGGGACCAUUCCACGGUUUCUGUGUCGCAGCUAACGCAUUAAGCGCCCCGCCUGGGGAGUACGGCCGCAAGGCUAAAACUCAAAGGAAUUGACGGGGGCCCGCACAAGCGGCGGAGCAUGCGGAUUAAUUCGAUGCAACGCGAAGAACCUUACCAAGGCUUGACAUAUACCGGAAACGGCCAGAAAUGGUCGCCCCGCAAGGUCGGUAUACAGGUGGUGCAUGGUUGUCGUCAGCUCGUGUCGUGAGAUGUUGGGUUAAGUCCCGCAACGAGCGCAACCCUCGUUCUAUGUUGCCAGCACGUAAUGGUGGGAACUCAUAGGAGACUGCCGGGGUCAACUCGGAGGAAGGUGGGGAUGACGUCAAAUCAUCAUGCCCCUUAUGUCUUGGGCUUCACGCAUGCUACAAUGGCCGGUACAAAUGGGCUGCGAUACCGUAAGGUGGAGCGAAUCCCAAAAAGCCGGUCUCAGUUCGGAUUGAGGUCUGCA
rnacentral:rRNA from 1 species